GCUGGUUAAUAUUUUAAUAUUUGAAGAAAAAUGGACCCACUCGAAAAUUGCAGGCAGGUUGCGGAAACAAUAUUAACAAUUCAAAACUUAGAUAAUAGCCAUUGGUCAUUUAAAUUUGAAAUAUGAAAAAAUAGUAUUUAUUAUAUUCAGUAGAUAAAAAUUGAAUUUCAAUCCAGAUGUAGUUAAUAAGUUACAAGUGCUACAACUUAUAAUUGUUUAAACUUUAAAUUAGGUGUUCGAGUGGUGUAACAGCGGUCCCCUCAAAAUGUUGGUCCACUAUACGUACUCGUUGCUCUUCACUCACCACUCAUCAAAACUAUUUAAAUACCUCUUAGUUGUAGAAUUAUAAAUUAUAAGUUAUAACCUACAAGGUUUGAAAUUCAAUUUGUAUACAUUAAAAUCAUCAAAAAUUGUCUGUUUCGGAAAUAGGAAUAUUAAAUUUUUUGAAAUAGUGAUAACGUUUACUGUUAAAAGAACCACCCUGUAUAAUAAUUAAUAUACUUGUAUAUUAUUACGUAUACUAUUACUAACCCCAUGUGGCCAUGUGGGACACACCUGUCCACAGUGUGUCCGCAUGCAUUUUUAUGUUUGUCCAUCAAACUCAUGUAGUCAUUAGUCAUAUCUUAGGUGCAUAUACGCAGUUCGUGGCACAUGGACUCUAAUGUGACUCAACUUAUGUCACCAGGAAAAUAUUGUAAUACUAUUAUGUGCCACACACAAAAUAAUACGAUGCACUAUACGGUGGUUUUUGACGCUUCUCUUCGAAAUGCAAAAAAAAAUAAACUUUGAACCAACAAUAUAACCAUAAUAUUUUUGUUAUUAUUAUUGUAAGUUAUAACCAUCGCGUUAUGUGUGCAUGUUCGAGCAAUAUAUUUAUUUGUUUACUUUACACUUCACACUAUAUAAGCACAAUAUACUCCUAGAUGUACGUGUAGGUAUACACUAUGAUUGUGAUGAUGUCAAAGUCAUGCGAUAGUUUUCUGCAGGAAAUCAUUCGACUACAAAUUACAUUAAUUACAAUGCUCCAUAUCUCUAUAUGCUCAAUAGCUAGUUCUUUAAUAAAAAUAAUAGAUAAUAUACUAAUAUAUAAUAUUGAUUACUAAUUACUAUUAUUUAUUAAUAAUAAAAUAGGUACAUUAUUAUAUACAGGUUGAGGGUAUUCAAAAUGAAUCAUUCCAUCAUCCAAUGCUUUACACCGGGGUUCCCAAUAGGUCACCUGAUCUUUUCGGUAAGAUUUAUGGUCGCUGUGGGACUACUUCUUCUGGGAUUCUGUUCAAGAUACGUUUUACGUGAAUAUCGCCAUUCCUCAUUACUCAUUAGUGUCAUUCUCAGAGGAGCUGGUAGGUUCAUAUUUAAAAUCUUUAAAAAAAAUAAGAAUUGGAUGUGGCUCAUAUUUCUUACUUGUCAAGUUAUUCCGUUUUUGUAUAAGUUUAUUGUUUAUUAAAUAUAUACUAAUGUUUUGUGACUGA